AAAAUUAAUCCAUCUGUAAUCUGUGGAUAAGUUACUUGGCAAUGUUGUUACUCGUCAAAAAUUAUGUCUUGCAUAAAU